GUGUACCUGGCUGAAUGAAAAUGUCGUAGUUAAGUAAAGAAGGUUAAGAAGCAUGGUGGCACAAACUCAGUACUCACAAAGCCAAGUGGAAAAUUUCGAACGGGCUUGGAACAGAUACUGAUAUGAAGUAACGUAAACUUGAAAGGUUUUCCAGAAGAAUGUUUUCUCGACCCCCCCCCCUACUGUAAAUGUAUUGUUGUGCCAAAAUUGGACGCCCUCUUUUAGGACCCUGGCUAAAAGCCUGACUGGUACCAAACUUCCUGAAGUAUAGUGCCUCAGUUGGCACAUAGUCACUAGUGAA